GCUUUAUCUGUCAGUUGAAGAGUUUUACUGUUACAUCCAUGAGAUUAAUAAAUGUCAUGUCACGUCACAGGUUGUCAUAGGUCAGUAUCAAAUGAGUUUGAAAUUAUUUUUUGCAGCACAAAUUAGGGUUCUUAGGAUGUUGUUAAAUCCUUAAAACUGACAGAAAAGGAUAAGGCCUAAGAGAUUUCUUAA